AUUGAACGCUGGCGGCAGGCCUAACACAUGCAAGUCGAGCGGAUGAAGGGAGCUUGCUCCUGGAUUCAGCGGCGGACGGGUGAGUAAUGCCUAGGAAUCUGCCUGGUAGUGGGGGAUAACGUCCGGAAACGGGCGCUAAUACCGCAUACGUCCUGAGGGAGAAAGUGGGGGAUCUUCGGACCUCACGCUAUCAGAUGAGCCUAGGUCGGAUUAGCUAGUUGGUGGGGUAAAGGCCUACCAAGGCGACGAUCCGUAACUGGUCUGAGAGGAUGAUCAGUCACACUGGAACUGAGACACGGUCCAGACUCCUACGGGAGGCAGCAGAGGGGAAUAUUGGACAAUGGGCGAAAGCCUGAUCCAGCCAUGCCGCGUGUGUGAAGAAGGUCUUCGGAUUGUAAAGCACUUUAAGUUGGGAGGAAGGGCAGUAAGUUAAUACCUUGCUGUUUUGACGUUACCAACAGAAUAAGCACCGGCUAACUUCGU
rnacentral:rRNA from 1 species